rnacentral:rRNA from 1 species
UACGUAGGGCGCAAGCGUUAUCCGGAAUUAUUGGGCGUAAAGAGCUCGUAGGCGGUUUGUCGCGUCUGCCCGUGAAAGUCGGGCUCAACUCCGGAUCUGCGGUGGGUACGGGCAGACUAGAGUGAUGUAGGGGAGACUGGAAAUUCCUGGUGUAGCGGUGAAAUGCGCAGAUAUCAGGAGGAACACCGAGUGGCGAAGGCAGAUCUCUGGGCCGUAACUGACGCUGGAGGAGCGAAAGCAUGGGGAGCAACAGG